rnacentral:rRNA from 1 species
GAUGAACGCUGGCGGCGUGCCUAAUACAUGCAAGUCGAGCGAACGGACGAGAAGCUUGCUUCUCUGAUGUUAGCGGCGGACGGGUGAGUAACACGUGGAUAACCUACCUAUAAGACUGGGAUAACUUCGGGAAACCGGAGCUAAUACCGGAUGAUAUUUUGAACCGCAUGGUUCAAAAGUGAAAGACGGUCUUGCUGUCACUUAUAGAUGGAUCCGCGCUGCAUUAGCUAGUUGGUAAGGUAACGGCUUACCAAGGCAACGAUGCAUAGCCGACCUGAGAGGGUGAUCGGCCACACUGGAACUGAGAGACGGUCCAGACUCCUACGGGAGGCAGCAGUAGGGAAUCUUCCGCAAUGGGCGAAAGCCUGACGGAGCAACGCCGCGUGAGUGAUGAAGGUCUUCGGAUCGUAAAACUCUGUUAUUAGGGAAGAACAUAUGUGUAAGUAACUGUGCACAUCUUGACGGUACCUAAUCAGAAAGCCACGGCUAACUACGUG